rnacentral:rRNA from 1 species
GACGAACGCUGGCGGCAUGCCUAACACAUGCAAGUCGAACGAAAAGGCCCGGUCUUUGUGCGCUGCUCGAGUUGCGAACGGGUGAGUAACACGUGAGUACCCUGCACUUGACUUUGGGAUAACUUAAGAAAACUGGGGCUCAUCCCGGCUAGGAGCUCCUGCUGCAUGGUGGGCGUUGGAUAGUUUCGGCGGUUGGGGAUGGAAUAGCGGACUAUCAGAUUGGUGCGUGGGUAGUGGCUUACCAAGGCUUUGACAAGUAGCCGGCCUGGGAGGGUGACCUGACACACUGGGACUGAGAUGCGGCACGGACCCGUACGGGACGCAGCAGUGGGGAAGAGUACACUAUAGGCGGGACCCUGAUGCAGCAACGCAGCGUCGGGGAUGACGUCCAUCGGGUUGUGAUCUGCAUUCGCCUGUGACGAAGUGUUAGUGACGGUAACGGGUAAAGAAGCACCGGCUAACUACGUG